rnacentral:rRNA from 1 species
GGCGUAAAGGGCUCGCAGGCGGUUUCUUAAGUCUGAUGUGAAAGCCCCCGGCUCAACCGGGGAGGGUCAUUGGAAACUGGGGAACUUGAGUGCAGAAGAGGAGAGUGGAAUUCCACGUGUAGCGGUGAAAUGCGUAGAGAUGUGGAGGAACACCAGUGGCGAAGGCGACUCUCUGGUCUGUAACUGACGCUGAGGAGCGAAAGCGUGGGGAGCGAACAGGAUUAGAUACCCUGGUAGUCCACGCCGUAAACGAUGAGUGCUAAGUGUUAGGGGGUUUCCGCCCCUUAGUGCUGCAGCUAACGCAUUAAGCACUCCGCCUGGGGAGUACGGUCGCAAGACUGAAACUCAAAGGAAUUGACGGGGGCCCGCACAAGCGGUGGAGCAUGUGGUUUAAUUCGAAGCAACGCGAAGAACCUUACCAGGUCUUGACAUCCUCUGACAAUCCUAGAGAUAGGACGUCCCCUUCGGGGGCAGAGUGACAGGUGGUGCAUGGUUGUCGUCAGCUCGUGUCGUGAGAUGUUGGGUUAAGUCCCGCAACGAGCGCAACCCUUGAUCUUAGUUGCCAGCAUUCAGUUGGGCACUCUAAGGUGACUGCCGGUGACAAACCGGAGGAAGGUGGGGAUGACGUCAAAUCAUCAUGCCGCUUAUGACCUGGGCUACACACGUGCUACAAUGGACAGAACAAAGGGCAGCGAAACCG